CUGCACACCUUUCUCUUCAAAGGACUACUCACCUGAGCAAGAAAGUUCUAUUUCAGAGUUUGAUAUUGACCACGAAUAUCCUGGAAUUCAUUCCGCUGAAGGAGAAGCAGAGGCAAGAGAUGUUGAAAGAAAACUUGAUGAGGCUUUGAGAGGAGAACACUAUGAUUCGAUUAAAGAUCACGUGAAUCCAAGGAUUCUAUCCAGCUGUAAGACUAACGCAUUAUUCAAGGCAUUUGAGGUGAAGAAAAAAAUCAGAGACAUUCCAGAUAGCGGUGGAGCAGAAAGGAACGAGUUUGAAACAUUGGCAAACUCAGUAGAUGAGUUCACGGCAGCUUUAAUACAUCCUUUAAAAGCUGACGACCACGCUAGAAGCACUUUUAGAAGCUGUUUGGAAAC